AGUGCUUAAUUGUGACGGUGGCUGGAUUCGUGGUCAUCUUCUUGGUGGGCAGUUACAAUGAGUCGGCCUUCCCUUACGCCUUACGCCAUUGUCGGCAUUGUACUCACCACUCUCAUGAUACAGCAGUUCCUAUCGGGAAUAUUCCAUCUGUGUGUGGACAAGGAGGGUGGUAAGACCCCCCCCCUGAAAAGAUUGCCUAUCGCAAGUAUUGGGAACUUCAUCAUACCAUCUUAGGUUAAUUCCUCACCAUAGCGAUAGGACUGGGACAGGUGACUCUGGGGGUCUUCUUAACCAAUGCCCCCUUGAUUGUGUAGGAUGUGUGGGCGGGUCUGGGAGGGGUCUGGGAGGCGCCUGGCUGAUUGUGUGUGUUAUGCACGAGUGUGUCUACGUCUGUUGCAAGAUAGCUCACAGAGGGCAGAAAGGUUUAUAAGGCAAUCAGUAGAACAUUGACUCUUCCCACACAUAUAAUUAUUACAUGGCAUGUUUUAUCUUUCCCAAAUUAUGUAGCUAUACAUCCACUCUGUUAUAAGCUAGAGUAUAUACAUCUAUUCCUGGUUUAUAAUACCGGUACUUGUAUAUAAUACAUAUGUGCCAAGGGUGUAUUUUCUCUUUGUAUAUACGUGCCCUGAUUGUGCUAUAUAUGUUGUCACCAACCAGAACAAACCCAGUGUUACAACUGUACUUAGCCAUGGCAUUGAAAGCAUAGUUGCCAUUUUCAUCAGAAGUAGAACUACUGUGUGUCACAAAACCUGCAUGCAUAAUCACAGUAAAAACACAUUCGUUACAGUAGCAUAAAACAUAAUUUUUUGACAUUUCAUGUAGAAAUAACAUAAAUUUCUGUCAUUUUAACUAAAAUACGAUUAUGCAUCUCAUUAUAACAUAAGUGUUUUGCUGUAUACCGUAUUACUAGAAUGUUUUGUGAGCAUCAAACAUUUGCGAACUUUGUGAUGGUUGAUUAAUUCGCAACAAUUAAAAUCCGCAAAACCUAAACUAUUACUAGUAAAUACACAUGAUCCUUGCCAGAACGCAAUAGUUAGAUCGCAAAGGGUCAAAUUUUCUGGCUCAUUCACAAAGGUUUUUCACCAGCAAAAUAUUCUAGUGAUACGGUAGUAGCUUCAUAAAUUAUUAUGUAGCUUUAAUUGACCACCUAUAUGACCACCGAGGCAUCAGGACCCGUGGUAUAUAUAUAUUGUGAGGAAUCGAAUUUAACGACAGUUUCAUUUUCACAGGCCACCAACAAAAUCACACUAGAGUAGCCUCCUCUACUAUAAAUGGUGUCAUAGGAGAUUCCAUAAUAAUUAAUUUGUAUUCAUCAACUGCCAUUUUAGAACAUGGUAACGCUUAGGCCAAAUAAGCGUCUGUAGUAUAUGAAUAAAAAGAUUCCCAUAUACAUACAGCUUCAACAAGGAUCACCUUGGGGUCAUUCCACAUCAAUUCAACAACAAAAAAAGUGACCGUCUCAGAUUUGGACGAAACUUGGCACAUAAGUAGUAUAUGAGGUGACAUUGAUGCAACACAAGUUUUAAGCUCUUUUUAUUUUAUAGCUUCCGGGUUAUGAAUAUAUCGAAAUCUGUACACUGGUAAUGCCCAGUUUUUCAGUUUUAAUUUUCAAAGUUUUGCACUUUACUAUCUUAUAGUACAGAAAAUUCUCUUUCACGUGAUAUGUUAUAUGGCUUCAAUCAAUAAAGUAGCUGCGGGGAGGGUGUUAAUUAGAACUUUAAUUACUUAAAAAGUGGUGUUUUAAUUUUCCCGAAAAUGGUUCCUAAUUUAUUUUUAUUUUUAUUUUGGGGCAUAAUCUAAUAUCUGUACGAAUUUGGUUUGGGGUUUCUAUAUAUAAUUAUAUGGGCUCGAGAGAGAGAGAUACAAAUCAAAAUGUGGUGACACAUUCCAUUCCCUUACAUACCGUAUUACUAGAAUGUUUUACGAGCAUCACAAACAUUUGCAAACUUUAAUUUGUGAUAGUUGAUCACAAUAAAAUCUGCAAAACCUAAAUUAUACUAGUAAGUAGAGUAAAGGAUGGAAAUUCAAGCUACAUGAAAAUCCGGACGAUUUAGCACGACGGCUAGCAAAAACAGAAAGAGCUAUGCAGAAACUAACUGACACAUAAAGAGAAACAUACCUUGUAAUCGAUCUGGUGCGGUAUCAGCUUCACAGCUUUCCUCAUAAUGAGGUAUUGAGCAUGCAAAAUAAACGUGCAGAUAAUUGCAUUUUCGGAGAAUGCUAUGCAAUUUCGAGUUGAGCUACUUAGAGCAUCAAUUAGCUAAAUCUGAGGGUGCCAUCAGCUUUUUCAUGUCCACUUUACUCAGGAUUAACCUUUAGCUGAGCAGAAACAGCUGCACUGCUGCACAAAACUUGCUGAGAAGUAUUUGCACAAAACUGCUAGGUCAGCAUUAAUACCUACAAGUCAAUUAUCGAGGGCUAGCCGCACCUUGCUGUUGCUAUGGUAUUAAUGCUGACCUAGCACUUUUUGUGCGAAUACUUCUCAGCAAGUUUUGUGCAGCAGUGCAGCUGUUUCUGCUCAGCUAAAGGUUAAUCCUGAGUAAAGUGGACAUGAAAAAGCUGAUGGCACCCUCAGAUUUAGCUAAUUGAUGCUCUAAGUAGCUCAACUCGAAAUUGCAUAGCAUUCUCCGAAAAUGCAAUUAUCUGCACGUUUAUUUUGCAUGCUCAUUACCUCAUUAUGAAGAAAGCUGUGAAGCUGAUACCGCACCAGAUCGAUUACAAGGUAUGUUUCUCUUUAUGUGUCAAGUUAGUUUCUGCAUAGCUCUUUCUGUUUUUGCUAGCGGUCGUGCUAAAUCGUCCGGAUUUUCAUGUAGCUUGAAUUUCCAUGCUUUACUCUACACACGAUCCUUGCCAGAACGCAAUAGUCAGAUCGCAAAGGGUCAAAUUUUCUGCUCAUUUGGCUCAUUUGCAAAGGUUUAUCACCCGCAAAAUAUUCUAGUGAUACGGUAUAGUAUAGUCUACAUGAAUGCUGCACCGAAGAACAUCAUGCACAGCGAUACAGAUUGGCUGACAGCUUAGAAUGAUGCAGGCUGAAACAAGAAAAACUAUCAUAUUAAUAGUAAAUUGAGUUUGUUCAUUUCAAACAGCACCAUGCAUUACAUGUAUCCUCAUAUUAUUGCAUGCACACUUUUAAUUGAUACCCUGAAAUCACUCUCAGCUAGAUCUAUAGUGAACUAUUCCUAAAAUUAUGUUAGCAGUAUCCCUCAUUCUAAAAUACCAUUACGUAUGUGCCCUAUAUUAUUGCUCUGCAUGCAUGCACAUGCAUGAGCUGUUAAUUGAUACCACCCUGAGAUCAUUGUAACCGAUCCCUAUUAACAGUAAAUUGAGCAUUAAACAGCACAAUUCAUGCCCCACGUACUGUUGACGGUUAAUUUUGAUCUAUAAUUAUGUUGUAUACUACAUGUUUCGCUGAAUAAAAGAGAAUGGUUAUAAUAAUUAUAUAGGCAAUGUCUCAGGCUCGAGCAUAAUCUACCAAGGCCUAUAAUUAUAGAUAUCAGCUAGGUCCAUUGAGAACAGCAUUGCGGGAUAUAUAUAACAUGCUGUUUGUUUAGCCAUGCAUACAGGUUUAGCCAGCUGCUGUGAUCAUAAAAGAUACAUUCAAAAACAACUGUGAAAGCAAACUGUUGACAAUAGAAAUGAAUUAAUACAACCUUACCAUUAUUGAAAUAAACAAACAUCAAUUCAACUUAGUGCUUGAUUUCUCCAUAAGCCUGGUUCGACUGCAUCUCAAUGUUUCGCUUUACCGUCUAUAGAGUAGGAUAAUCCGCAUUACAUAAAUCUAUAGCUUUAUGAUCCUCACUUGUCCAUAAGCUUCAUUAAACUCCACUUGAAUGUCUUGUGUUCCUUGUGUCACUACUAGACCAACUUCCUUGUAUACCGGACCAGCUGAGGCUUUUGGAGCUUCAUUGCCUGGCAGUUGGCUAUCUAUUUAGACAAAUCACAUAGUUAAUAUUGUAUUCGCAAACAAUUGUCACCUUUACUUUUUCUUUUCUUGGCUAAGAGAGCUAUCAUUACCAGGACAAGCAGUAAUAACACUAACAGGCCGCCAGUAACACCUCCAGCUACAGAAGCAACGUUCCCACCAGUGGGAGCUGCCACACCUAUAUAGGCCAUUAUGCAGCAUACAUGCAUGCAUGCUGGCAGACACAAAUCAAUGAACUCACACUCCAAUAAAGUCCGGUCAGGAUACCAGAGACCAGAGUUGUUACAAGUGGCAGUCGCUGCACCCACCAGUGAGAACUCAGGAUCACAUUGGAAGACGAUCUCCUCUGGAUUCUUGUCCCACUCUCCUGUAGCUAAACAUGUGGCACUCAUUAUGCCCUCAGGGAAUAGUCGAUCGUCACACUGGAAGGUAACUCGUGUACCAGGUAUAGCUGGUACUGAAUGACUGCUGA